GAUGAACGCUGGCGGCGUGCCUAAUACAUGCAAGUCGAGCGAACGGACGAGAAGCUUGCUUCUCUGAUGUUAGCGGCGGACGGGUGAGUAACACGUGGAUAACCUACCUAUAAGACUGGGAUAACUUCGGGAAACCGGAGCUAAUACCGGAUAAUAUUUUGAACCGCAUGGUUCAAAAGUGAAAGACGGUCUUGCUGUCACUUAUAGAUGGAUCCGCGCUGCAUUAGCUAGUUGGUAAGGUAACGGCUUACCAAGGCAACGAUGCAUAGCCGACCUGAGAGGGGGGUCGGCGACACUGGAACGGGAACAGGGACCAGGCUCCUGCGGGAGGCAGCAGUAGGGAAUCGUCGGCAGAGGGCGGGAGCCUGACGGAACAACGCCACGUGAGUGAUGGAGGUCUUCGGAUCGUAAAACUCUGUUAUUAGGGGAGAACAUAUGUGUGAGUAACUGUACACAUCUUGACGGUACCUAAUCAGAAAGCCACGGCUAACUACGUG
rnacentral:rRNA from 1 species